AUUCACUCUAGUGCUUUAUGGCUUUUUAUUCCUAUGUGAUAGUAAUAAAAGUCUCAUGUAGGGAUGGAAGCCAUGAAAUACAUUGUGAAAA
rnacentral:pre_miRNA from 1 species